rnacentral:tRNA from 1 species
CCCGUGGUGUACAACAUGCCGGAUUGCAAAUCCGGAGAUGUAGGUUAAUAGCCUACCGGGGCUU